rnacentral:rRNA from 1 species
GACGAACGCUGGCGGCGUGCCUAAUACAUGCCAGUAGAACGCUGAAGGAGGAGCUUGCUUCUCUGGAUGAGUUGCGAACGGGUGAGUAACGCGUAGGUAACCUGCCUGGUAGCGGGGGAUAACUAUUGGAAACGAUAGCUAAUACCGCAUAAUAGCAGUUGUUGCAUGACAACUGUUUGAAAGGUGCAAUUGCACCACUACCAGAUGGACCUGCGUUGUAUUAGCUAGUUGGUGGGGUAACGGCUCACCAAGGCGACGAUACAUAGCCGACCUGAGAGGGUGAUCGGCCACACUGGGACUGAGACACGGCCCAGACUCCUACGGGAGGCAGCAGUAGGGAAUCUUCGGCAAUGGACGGAAGUCUGACCGAGCAACGCCGCGUGAGGGAAGAAGGUUUUCGGAUCGUAAAGCUCUGUUGUAAGAGAAGAACGAGUGUGAGAGUGGAAAGUUCACACUGUGACGGUAUCUUACCAGAAAGGGACGGCUAACUACGUG